UAGGGAAUCUUCCGCAAUGGGCGAAAGCCUGACGGAGCAACGCCGCGUGAGUGAUGAAGGUCUUCGGAUCGUAAAACUCUGUUAUUAGGGAAGAACAAAUGUGUAAGUAACUAUGCACGUCUUGACGGUACCUAAUCAGAAAGCCACGGCUAACUACGUGCCAGCAGCCGCGGUAAUACGUAGGUGGCAAGCGUUAUCCGGAAUUAUUGGGCGUAAAGCGCGCGUAGGCGGUUUUUUAAGUCUGAUGUGAAAGCCCACGGCUCAACCGUGGAGGGUCAUUGGAAACUGGAAAACUUGAGUGCAGAAGAGGAAAGUGGAAUUCCAUGUGUCGCGGUGAAAUGCGCAGAGAUAUGGAGGAACACCAGUGGCGAAGGCGACUUUCUGGUCUGUAACUGACGCUGAUGUGCGAAAGCGUGGGGAUCAAACAGG
rnacentral:rRNA from 1 species